rnacentral:misc_RNA from 1 species
GAUGAAGAACGUAGCGAAAUGCGAUAAGUAAUGUGAAUUGCAGAAUUCAGUGAAUCAUCGAAUCUUUGAACGCACAUUGCGCCCGCCAGUAUUCUGGCGGGCAUGCCUGUUCGAGCGUCAUUUGUACCUUCAAGCCUUGCUUGGUGUUGGGUGUUUGUCUCGCCUCUGCGCGCAGACUCGCCUCAAAACAAUUGGCAGCCGGCGUAUUGAUUUCGGAGCGCAGUACAUCUCGCGCUUUGCACUCAGAACGACGACGUCCAAAAGUACAUUUUUACACUCUUGACCUCGGAUCAGGUAGGGAUACCCGCUGAACUUAAGCAUAUCAAUAAGCGGAGGA